AUACGGAGGGUGCGAGCGUUAAUCGGAAUUACUGGGCGUAAAGCGUACGUAGGCGGUUUGCUAAGUCAGAUGUGAAAGCCCCGGGCUUAACCUGGGAACUGCAUUUGAUACUGGCAGACUAGAGUAUGAUAGAGGGGGGUAGAAUUCCUGGUGUAGCGGUGAAAUGCGUAGAUAUCAGGAGGAAUACCAGUGGCGAAGGCGGCCCCCUGGAUCAAUACUGACGCUGAGGUACGAAAGCGUGGGGAGCGAACAGGAUUAGAAGCCCUAGUAGUCC
rnacentral:rRNA from 1 species